rnacentral:misc_RNA from 1 species
GUGGCGUCAUCAAGAAAGCUUUUCAUCUCUCAAACUCCCGAUCCUUGAAGUGCUAUCUGAUUCCACUUCUGCCCAGAUACACUGCUCUGCUUUCCUUAUUCUGCACCUCUCUAGAUGCCCUGUUUUGCUUCCCUCCUCCCCUCUACUUCCUCUCCCUCACUUCUCAGCGCUCUUAGAUCGACAACCACAGCUGUUCCUCAGGGGGAAGAUGGCGCAGCCGCACAGCUCGGCGGCGGGCGGGCGGCAACUUCUCCCAGCGGUGGAAGAAUGCGUCGGCGCAGAUAAGCUGCAGCUUCCUGUACCUCUCCCGCUCACUGGAGGAGACCGAACGCGGUCGCGGGACGGGACUGUGGGAGGCGCGCCAGGCGGGAGCGAGGAGCGCCGGUCGCCGGAGCGGGCGUCGGCCGUGGCCGAGCGGCGAGCGAACGCCAGUCGCCAGGCAGAGCCGCAGAGAUAGCGGUAACAGGCAGCGCGAUCAGGGCAGGCGAACAGGCGCAUGCAGGCGGCGGGCAGAGGAAUAGGCGUAGGCAAUUGGAUUAGCGUCUGGACUCUGGGCCUCUGGCGUAGCAGGCUGCAAAUCUGCAAUUGUCGCUGUGGCCUGUGGAAUAUUGUUUAUGGGGUGGGGGCCCACCAG